UAGGGCCAUAUCACGUUGAUAGACUGGUUCUCGUAUGAUCUCCGAAGUUAAGCAACUUCGAGUCUGGUCAGUACCGAAAUGGCAGACCGCUUGUGAAUACUAGGUUCUGUAAG